UACGGAGGGUGCAAGCGUUAUCCGGAUUUACUGGGUUUAAAGGGUGCGUAGGUGGGCAGGAAAGUCAGUGGUGAAAUCUCCGGGCUUAACCCGGAAACUGCCAUUGAUACUAUUUGUCUUGAAUACUUUGGAGGUAAGCGGAAUAUGUCAUGUAGCGGUGAAAUGCUUAGAUAUGACAUAGAACACCAAUUGCGAAGGCAGCUCACUACACAAUCAUUGACUCUGAGGCACGAAAGCGUGGGGAUCAAACAGG
rnacentral:rRNA from 1 species